UAUUGGAUGAAUUUAGGGUGGAGGUCAAGUAAGUGUUCUAAUUUCUUCAUUUCCUUUCAUGAGCUUACUUUCCACUUUUGAAAACUUACUUUACUCAUAGCCAAGAAUACGUGAGCUUAUUCUCCCUGCAUGGGCUUGAAUAUGUUUGAAAAAAGAUGGACCUAGUACAAUCUGGCCAUUCAUGCAGCUGUAAUACAGAUCAAUUACAGAAACGGGAGGUGGAAUAAGCACUAUCAAUGUUGUUUGGAGAAAAAUGUAAAAAACAAAACCAAAUCAUGAGGCAUAGAUAUUGAUGGCUGGCAAACAAAUACAGAAAACAGAGCAACCUGGAAUAUAUUGAUCAUAGGUGCCGUGGCUCAUUGAGUCUGUUGGAGAAACAGGCAGAAUUGAAAUUCCAAAGAUCCUAGUGAAAAGUGACUUAGCUGCUCACUGUAGAAAAGAAUGUGGAUCAUACAGUAGAUUACACAGCUACACUUGGACAGUGACUUCAUCAGCCAUGCGAUAUUCUAAUUUGCAAAAUGAUGAGAUGAGACAGGGGCAGCAACGGCAGCACAGAGAGAUGACCCGUUCCACCUCUUCCUUUGGUGGCCACAUUCUAUAUUUAAUACAGAGAAUAUAAAGCCAUAAACCAGCUUCCUUUUCUCUGCAGCCACACCUAAGAGAAAACAUGCAUAUUCAGAACAUACCAUGGGCUCUUUUUCUCUCUAGCAGUCUGUAUUUAGUCACAUUUCAGAACUUCAUGAGAUGAUGAAUCUCCAGCAUCUGAGAGGGAUGUUGUGUGUUACUAGAAUCAUGAAAUCAUUUUGAGGAGCUAAGAGGCAAGGUACUAAGUAGCAUUAAAACCUCGAGAACCUGGUAUCUGAGUGAUUCAAACUUUAAAACCUGAAAUGCAGAGACUACGGGUAAGAAAUUGCCUUACCCAUAUGCCUGAUCACCACAUUCCCCAGAUUAAAAUACAGUGAGAGUGAAGAGAGUCACAUCAGCAAAAUGGUGAGUAGACAGCUACAAGCACACAUUUCUCUAAGAAACCUGGAAAAACAAGCAGAAACUGUCAGAACCAACUUUGUCAGAACUCUAAAACACUCAAAGAUUUAUAAAAACUAACUAAAUGCUGAAUCAAGAGUAAGAUGACUUAAAAAUUUUCCUUGCAUUCAAGGAAAUCCCUGUUAGUUGAACACAAGCUAAAGGAACAGAAACUUCAACCACACGUGAUAAAAAAUAUAGUCUGCAAAAAUAGUUUGAAAAAACUCACUAAAUAUAUGACUGUGGUCUUCAAUAAACAAGAACAUUAAACUCUGGGUAAGGGAGAUAAUCUGAUUUUCAGAGUUACCACAUUACAAUAUUCAGAUGUUCAGUUUUCCUUUUUAAGUUAAACAUUUAGAUUUCAUUUUAGGCUAUAUAGAACAGUUUUAGGUUUACAGAAAAAUUGAGCAUGAAAUACAGGGAAUUUUUAUAUAUCCUUUCUCU
rnacentral:lncRNA from 1 species